CCUUUCGUGGUGUAGUGGGGAGCACGCUCGACGCGUAACCGAGAGGUCGGUGGUUCGACUCCCGGCGAAAGCG
rnacentral:tRNA from 1 species